CAUUAAGCACAGAAGUGAUGUCUGUGCUCCUCGUGCUGGUUCAUAAUACUUUCUCGUACGAAAGAAAACCAAACCCAGGACGUUUGCAGCAUCUGAAAUUUUUAAGACUCUUAGGAGUCUCGUGAGGUAAUUUUCAGAUGAGGAACCAUGAUCUAUGCCAAAUAGUUUCAGGAAGUGACAGAAACAAGAAAGGAACAAGAUUAACUCCCAAUCCAAUGCUCUUUAAAUUCUUACCACCCAGCUUCUGAAGGACUUUGAUUUAGGUGGAAGAAAUGCAGCAAUCGCAGGAGAACAUCCCUGGGAUCAUCUAUAGGAGAAUAGCCCAACCUGCCAGAACUAGCCUCCCUCAGCCAUUGCAGGCCCCUGCCUCCUGCCUCCCUCUCCUUCCCUUGGAGCUUCACGGAGCUUCCCUGUGCAGACUGACUGCAGACCUCAGGACUCCAGCAGACAUGCCGAAAGCUGGAGGAAAGACGGUGUGGCUGCAAAAAGUCUCCUAAGCCUGCCAAGGAUGAUCUUCGAUGGUACAACUUGGACCUGGACAAUCAUUUGUGAACAAAGGAGGCCAGACGCCUGAGCCUGCUCGGAAUUGACUUCUGUGUCCCUCUAUUAUUGAAACUGACAUCGGAUGUGCGUGCGUGUGUUUCUUUCAUAAAAGCCCUAUCCUAGUCCAAGAUCAAACAAUUGAUUUUGGAAAAUAACUGCACAUAAUGGUACAUUUUCUAGAACUGACCAGGUUCCCCCUGUCAUUUGCCAUCAGCUUUGAAGUAUUUAAUAGCUAAGGUAACUUGAAGAAACUCCCAUGUUCCUGAAAACUGCUCUUAGUGUCCCUACUAUUUGCUGGGGACUUAUCAUUUACCCACUGCUUUAUCAGUCCACUUUUUACUUUUAUCUACUUAUUUCCCAAGUGGAUUGUCAUUACCUCGUUCUCUGCACAUCGUUUUUAAGAUCUGAGGAGGAUUUCCUUACGUGAAUAGACCUUAACUGAUCUGAAUGUCCCCUAGAGUUCAUAUUUGAAUUAUUUCCAAUUUUUCUCUAAUACAACAAUUCUUGAAUGAGUAUAUCAUCUUUUCCCCCAGCUUCACUGAGGUAUAAUUGACCAAUAAAAGUAUCUACUUAAGGUGUAGAUUUGUAUCUACUUAAAGUAUCUACUUUAAGGUGUAUGAUUUGAUAUAUAUACACACUGUGAAGUAUUUCCCACAAUCAAGCUAAGGAACACAUCCAUCACCUCCCAGGGUUACUCUUUGUGGGUGGUGAUCCAUAUCUUUUUGUGCAUCUACAUUUAUCACAACAAAAAAACCAAAAGUAAAGUCACCUAAAGGCAAAGGGUAUGUGCCAAGUAAAGCUUUGGUUGUACAUGUUGCCAAAAGGCUCUAUAAAUGAGUUGAAUGGACCAGGUCCACAUACAAUUUUGACGUAGUUCUUCUGUUGGGAAGCAUGAUUCACCCUCAUGAAAGAAGUUUUACCUAAUACUUCAUGAUAUGAAGGAAAAGGUGAAAUGCGACUGAUUUUCUCCAUGCAUACACUCGAAGAGGACCCAGCAGCUCACCUCUGGGAGCAUAUGUGCAGGGCCCCAGCUGUGAUGCCUCCACUAGGAGCUGGUGCAAGGGCAACUGUUGUGUGGUGUGUAGUUUGGAGGUUGAUAGAUCCCUGGCUAUUUACUGCUUUUUAACAGUUAUAGAAAAACAAUGACUUGAUAGACAUCUUUCAGGUCUGGAUGAAAAUGUCACUUUCUUAAGGGGUCUUCCCCAACUCCCCAGUCUACAUUUCAACUUUUUCUUUGACUCAUUAACUAGCCCAAAAUGUCCUGAGUCAUCUGAAGAGAAACUAGCUCCCACGUGGUCUCUUGUACUUAGCACAUCGUGACAUGCUAAGUCUGGAUACAUCUAUGGAUAUGUACCAAUCAUUUCAAAACAUAUGUUGUGAGACAUUUUAUCAGUUACAACCUAAUUUCAAAAUGGGUCAAUAUUUUAUAUACACAAUGUCCUGUAUGCUCAGUUCAGUUGAAUAAACAUUUGGUGGCAUCGUGA